GACGAACGCUGGCGGCGCGCCUAAUACAUGCAAGUCGAGCGAGAACCAGGGCUUCGGCCCUGGGGACAGCGGCGAACGGGUGCGUAACACGUGAGCAACCUGCCCCGAAGACCGGGACAAGCCGGGGAAACCUGGUCUAAUACCGGAUGUUCUCCUAGCAUCGCAUGGUGUGAUGAGGAAAUGGAUUCCGCUUCGGGAUGGGCUCGCGGUCUAUCAGCUUGUUGGUGGGGUAACGGCCUAACAAGGCGACGACGGAUAGCUGGUCUGAGAGGGCGACCAGCCACACUGGGACUGAGACACGGCCCAGACUCCUACGGGAGGCAGCAGUAGGGAAUCUUGCGCAAUGGGGGAAACCCUGACGCAGCGACGCCGCGUGCGGGAUGAAGGCCUUCGGGUUGUAAACCGCUUUCAGCAGGGACGAAAUUGACGGUACCUGCAGAAGAAGGCCCGGCCAACUACGUGCCAGCCGCCGCAGUAA
rnacentral:rRNA from 1 species